rnacentral:rRNA from 1 species
UACGUAGGGGGCAAGCGUUGUCCGGAAUUAUUGGGCGUAAAGAGCUCGUAGGUGGUUCGGUAAGUCGGAUGUGAAAUCUCCAGGCUCAACCUGGAGGGGUCAUUCGAUACUGCCGUGACUAGAGUUCGGUAGAGGAGUGUGGAAUUCCUGGUGGAGCGGUGAAAUGCGCAGAGAUCAGGAGGAACACCCGUAGCGAAGGCGGCACUCUGGGCCGAUACUGACACUGAGGAGCGAAAGCGUGGGGAGCGAACAGG